UUUUUUUUUUUCUUUCUAAAAAUCUGACUACAAAUCUAAUUAUCGUAUAGAUUACGUGCGGGGAAAUAUAUAAGAGUUUAUAGGAUUUAGAAGGGUAAAAAGUAAUGGUUUCUUGCGAUACGCCGGCACCUAUAACGUCCACCUCACCGUCCCCGUCCGUCAGUAUCCUACACGCACUAUCGGCUGGCUGUGCGUAGCUAGCGUUGCCGAAAACGCAAAAGGUUCAAAGUGUCCUUGACACAUCAAUGACGAGGCCUCAGCCAUGCUCGCACAAAGUAGUGUCAGUUUUGUAUAGCCUCUCGGCCGUGCUAGGUUUUGCAUCGUCGGCUUGUUCAUUCCCUUUUUUUUUCCUUUGUCUUUUUUUUCCUAGCGACGAUGGAUUCGUGUCGCCGCCUUCGAACGGGCGAACGAUUCGGAUCGGACAGAACGUGGCGGAUUUAUUUGCAAGUCCGGAACCGGAUAAUUACGGUCGGCAUCUACUCCUCUUUCUCUAAACAAAGUGCUAAUUGUAUGUACAAAUCUGCGUAGUGUACGGAA
rnacentral:lncRNA from 7 species